rnacentral:rRNA from 1 species
CCUACGGGAGGCAGCAGUAAGGAAUAUUGGACAAUGCUCGCAAGAGUGAUCCAGCCAUGCCGCGUGCAGGAAGAAUGCCCUAUGGGUAGUAAACUGCUUUUGAACUAGAGAAAACCCCAGUACGUGUACUGGGCUGAUAGUAUAGUUAGAAUAAGCAUCGGCUAACUUCGUGCCAGCAGCCGCGGUAAGACGAAGGAUGCAAGCGUUAUCCGGAUUCAUUGGGUUUAAAGGGAGCGUAGGUGGACUGAUAAGUCAGUGGUGAAAUCUCCGAGCUUAACUCGGAAAUUGCCAUUGAUACUGUUGGUCUUGAGUACAGUUGCUGUGGGCGGAAUAUGACAUGUAGUGGUGAAAUACAUAGAGAUGUCAUAGAACACCGAUUGCGAAGGCAGCUCACAAAGCUGUAACUGACACUGAGGCUCGAAAGUGCGGGGAUCAAACAGGAUUAGAUACCCUGGUAGUCCGCACCGUAAACGAUGAUUACUCGCUGCUAGGGGGCAACCUUUAGUGGCUUAGCGAAAGCGAUAAGAAUCCACCUGGGAGUACGCCGGCAACGGUGAAACGUCAAAGGAAUUGACGGNNGAGAGNGCGAGCGACGACGAGGGAGAGG